rnacentral:rRNA from 1 species
AGUGAACGCUGGCGGCGUGCUUAACACAUGCAAGUCGAACGAGAACGGAAUAUAGCUUGCUAUAUUUGUCAGCUAAGUGGCGCACGGGUGGGUAAUGUAUAGAUAACCUGCCCUUAAGAAAGGAAUAACAGUUGGAAACGACUGCUAAUGCCCUAUAUGCCUUUAAUACAUAAGUAUGCAAGGGAAACGCUUUAGUGCUUAAGGAUGGGUCUGUAGGGUAUCAGCUUGUUGGUGAGGUAAUGGCUCACCAAGGCUAUGACGCCUAACUGGUUUGAGAGGCUGAUCAGUCACACUGGAACUGAGACACGGUCCAGACUCCUGCGGGAGGCAGCAGUGGGGAAUAUUGCACAAUGGACGAAAGUCUGAUGCAGCAACGCCGCGUGGAGGAUGACACAUUUCGGUGCGUAAACUCCUUCUAUAUAGGAAGAUAAUGACGGUACUAUAUGAAUAAGCACCGGCUAACUCCGUGCCAGCCGCCGCGGUAA